rnacentral:lncRNA from 1 species
ACUCACAACAUAUUCUGCAUUCCACCUCAACCUCUAGCUCAGUUCUUGAUCUUAUUCAGUUCGCCGGAGCUCGCCGGAUUGUGGUGCUACAUCCGACGAGACGAAGUCGUUUUACCUUUGGGGAAGAUACGCCUAAACCGAAGAGCACUACCGGGGCGAUAAUCUUCUUGCGGGAAGAGAUUUAUCUCGACUCGACUUAUUUUAUACGUAUAAU